rnacentral:rRNA from 1 species
UACGUAGGGUCCGAGCGUUGUCCGGAUUUACUGGGUUUAAAGGGUGCGUAGGCGGCUGAAUCAGUCGGUGAUGAAAUGCCGGGGCUUAACCUUAGGCGCUGUUACCGAUACUGUUUGGCUUGAGAUAGAAUGAGGCAGCUGGAAUAAGUGGUGUAGCGGUGAAAUGCGUAGAGAUCACUUAGAACACCGAUUGCGAAGGCAGGUUGCUGGUUCUUAUCUGACGCUGAGGCACGAAGGCAUGGGGAUCAAACAGG